UUCCUUCCAUUCUCUCCAACUCAUAUUUCCAGCUAUAGCUUCUGUUCUUCCUCGUCUUAUUAGUAUAGCAAAGUUUGAGACUUGAAGCAUAUGGCUUUCCCCUUUAUCUGUGUUUUACUUGCCAUGUUUCUUCCUCUUGAAUCAGUCUCUGCCGAGUCAUUAGGCAACAUAUUCGCUCCUGUUUUUUCUCCAAUCAUGGAUGAUGUCUGCAAAGACAUAGAAUGUGGUAAAGGGACUUGCAAGCCUUCAAGCAGUAGCACUUUCUUUUUCGAAUGUCAAUGUGAUUCUGGGUGGAAGCAGACUACUGAGAACAGCACUGAUCACUUUAAGUUUCUACCUUGUGUGAUUCCCAAUUGUAAUCUGGAUUAUUCCUGUGAAAAAGCACCAGCCCCAGUUCCAGAUAAAUCAAACAAGGCGAACACAUCAAUCUUUGAUCAUAUUGACUCUUAUACUCGGAGUGUUUUUUCUCCUUUUCCUACAUAAGCUUAUUUAUUAUAUAUUAUUGGUUGUAUAGCUUGCUAUUGGAUGGAUUGUGGAGGUGGAACUUGCAACAAGACAUCAAAAUUGUCAUACAAUUGUGAAUGUGGAGAAGGUUAUUAUAAUCUGCUCAAUAUGACUACCCUCCCUUGCCUUAAAGAAUGUUCAAUUGGAGUCGAUUGUGCAAACCUUGGGAUUUCGGUGUCUAAUAAAUCUACUAGUCCUCCAACACCUGCAUUGGCUGAUAGUGGUCGCUUGAUAACACAUGUAAACUCAAUUACAUUGGUGACCCUAACAAUGUUGGUUCUUAUGCUUCAUGGGAUAUGGAACUAGUCAGGUUAGUUAGCUAAGUAACCACACAUGUUUAGUGAGGUGUUCAUCUCAAUUUCUCUUCAUUCAUAUAGAUAGGUUGAGGAGUUGGAUUUUGUUUUUUUAUAUAACUAAGACCUACUGCCUAGUCGAAGAUAUAGCUUCAUUUCGAGCUUGGAUUUUGUACUUCUUUUCAAGAUGUAGGUUCAUUGGC